AACACAACUAUAAUUAGCCCGUUGGGCCUUCUCCCCGUUUUGCUCUGCAAUUCUGCUUGCUGCCACCAUGUGAAGAAGGAUAUGUUUGCUCCCCCUUCUGCCAUCUUUCCCCAGAUGCCCAGGUGAGAUAUCUGGAUGCUAAAUAAUGAAGUAAAUUAAUUUGGCCUUUCUGACCUCCACCCAGAAGGCUACUCAUUGGUUGGAAGAAAAUAGAGAGGAGGACAAACAACUCUUUGGAAGAGGGGUUAGGUAUGAGAUCAUCCGUAGUACUAAAACCUGGAUACAAAUGCCUGUCACUGAAGAUGAAAAACAAAUGAUGAAUUCAACUAAUU
rnacentral:lncRNA from 13 species